rnacentral:lncRNA from 1 species
UAUGAUCUAGAGUAUUUAAAACUUUUAGAAAAUAAAUUUCGUAAUUUUUCGAAAUCAUAAUAAAGUCCAUCAAAUGGGCAUAAAAUGAAUGGUCAAAAUCGAACGAUGUCUUAAAAAUGGAUGAUCGGAUCCUUCAAUUUAAGAUUGGAGUUAUUGAUCUUUAUCUAGGUAGUGAAUAGAAUUUUCUAUCAAAAAUUCAACCUAUUCGGAUUCUUUUGCACCGUUAAACUAGCAAGUAUUCCAUACCGGCCGUUAAAAAUUGUCAAUUUUGUGAGCUUUUGAUCGUAAAAUAAAUGAUGUCGAAAAAUUAUGAAAUUUGAUUUCUAAAUGUUUCAAAUGCUCUAGAUAACAUUUAACGGUGUGGAUCGUCGAUUCGGAAGCUCUAUCAUCGAAAACAACUUAUGAGUACGAGGGCGAUCGUACUCAUAAUAGUAUAGUAGGUGGACUAUAUAUAUAUAUAUAUAUAUAUAUGAGUUUGACUACUAUACUAUCGAUAAUACUAAGUUCUUGGUACUAUUGAGU